rnacentral:rRNA from 1 species
CGAACCGGGGGAACUGAAACAUCUAAGUACCCCGAGGAAAAGAAAUCAACCGAGAUUCCCCCAGUAGCGGCGAGCGAACGGGGAGCAGCCCAGAGCCUGAAUCAGUGUGUGUGUUAGUGGAAGCGUCUGGAAAGGCGUGCGAUACAGGGUGACAGCCCCGUACACAAAAAUGCACAUAUUGUGAGCUCGAUGAGUAGGGCGGGACACGUGGUAUCCUGUCUGAAUAUGGGGGGACCAUCCUCCAAGGCUAAAUACUCCUGACUGACCGAUAGUGAACCAGUACCGUGAGGGAAAGGCGAAAAGAACCCCGGCGAGGGGAGUGAAAAAGAACCUGAAACCGUGUACGUACAAGCAGUGGGAGCACGCUUAGGCGUGUGACUGCGUACCUUUUGUAUAAUGGGUCAGCGACUUAUAUUCUGUAGCAAGGUUAACCGAAUAGGGGAGCCGAAGGGAAACCGAGUCUUAACUGGGCGUUAAGUUGCAGGGUAUAGACCCGAAACCCGGUGAUCUAGCCAUGGGCAGGUUGAAGGUUGGGUAACACUAACUGGAGGACCGAACCGACUAAUGUUGAAAAAUUAGCGGAUGACUUGUGGCUGGGGGUGAAAGGCCAAUCAAACCGGGAGAUAGCUGGUUCUCCCCGAAAGCUAUUUAGGUAGCGCCUCGUGAAUUCAUCUCCGGGGGUAGAGCACUGUUUCGGCAAGGGGGUCAUCCCGACUUACCAACCCGAUGCAAACUGCGAAUACCGGAGAAUGUUAUCACGGGAGACACACGGCGGGUGCUAACGUCCGUCGUGAAGAGGGAAACAACCCAGACCGCCAGCUAAGGUCCCAAAGUCAUGGUUAAGUGGGAAACGAUGUGGGAAGGCCCAGACAGCCAGGAUGUUGGCUUAGAAGCAGCCAUCAUUUAAAGAAAGCGUAAUAGCUCACUGGUCGAGUCGGCCUGCGCGGAAGAUGUAACGGGGCUAAACCAUGCACCGAAGCUGCGGCAGCGACGCUUAUGCGUUGUUGGGUAGGGGAGCGUUCUGUAAGCCUGUGAAGGUGUACUGUGAGGCAUGCUGGAGGUAUCAGAAGUGCGAAUGCUGACAUAAGUAACGAUAAAGCGGGUGAAAAGCCCGCUCGCCGGAAGACCAAGGGUUCCUGUCCAACGUUAAUCGGGGCAGGGUGAGUCGACCCCUAAGGCGAGGCCGAAAGGCGUAGUCGAUGGGAAACAGGUUAAUAUUCCUGUACUUGGUGUUACUGCGAAGGGGGGACGGAGAAGGCUAUGUUGGCCGGGCGACGGUUGUCCCGGUUUAAGCGUGUAGGCUGGUUUUCCAGGCAAAUCCGGAAAAUCAAGGCUGAGGCGUGAUGACGAGGCACUACGGUGCUGAAGCAACAAAUGCCCUGCUUCCAGGAAAAGCCUCUAAGCAUCAGGUAACAUCAAAUCGUACCCCAAACCGACACAGGUGGUCAGGUAGAGAAUACCAAGGCGCUUGAGAGAACUCGGGUGAAGGAACUAGGCAAAAUGGUGCCGUAACUUCGGGAGAAGGCACGCUGAUAUGUAGGUGAAGUCCCUCGCGGAUGGAGCUGAAAUCAGUCGAAGAUACCAGCUGGCUGCAACUGUUUAUUAAAAACACAGCACUGUGCAAACACGAAAGUGGACGUAUACGGUGUGACGCCUGCCCGGUGCCGGAAGGUUAAUUGAUGGGGUCAGCGCAAGCGAAGCUCUUGAUCGAAGCCCCGGUAAACGGCGGCCGUAACUAUAACGGUCCUAAGGUAGCGAAAUUCCUUGUCGGGUAAGUUCCGACCUGCACGAAUGGCGUAAUGAUGGCCAGGCUGUCUCCACCCGAGACUCAGUGAAAUUGAACUCGCUGUGAAGAUGCAGUGUACCCGCGGCAAGACGGAAAGACCCCGUGAACCUUUACUAUAGCUUGACACUGAACAUUGAGCCUUGAUGUGUAGGAUAGGUGGGAGGCUUUGAAGUGUGGACGCCAGUCUGCAUGGAGCCGACCUUGAAAUACCACCCUUUAAUGUUUGAUGUUCUAACGUGGACCCGUAAUCCGGGUUGCGGACAGUGUCUGGUGGGUAGUUUGACUGGGGCGGUCUCCUCCUAAAGAGUAACGGAGGAGCACGAAGGUUGGCUAAUCCUGGUCGGACAUCAGGAGGUUAGUGCAAUGGCAUAAGCCAGCUUGACUGCGAGCGUGACGGCGCGAGCAGGUGCGAAAGCAGGUCAUAGUGAUCCGGUGGUUCUGAAUGGAAGGGCCAUCGCUCAACGGAUAAAAGGUACUCCGGGGAUAACAGGCUGAUACCGCCCAAGAGUUCAUAUCGACGGCGGUGUUUGGCACCUCGAUGUCGGCUCAUCACAUCCUGGGGCUGAAGUAGGUCCCAAGGGUAUGGCUGUUCGCCAUUUAAAGUGGUACGCGAGCUGGGUUUAGAACGUCGUGAGACAGUUCGGUCCCUAUCUGCCGUGGGCGCUGGAGAAUUGAGGGGGGCUGCUCCUAGUACGAGAGGACCGGAGUGGACGCAUCACUGGUGUUCGGGUUGUCAUGCCAAUGGCACUGCCCGGUAGCUAAAUGCGGAAGAGAUAAGUGCUGAAAGCAUCUAAGCACGAAACUUGCCCCGAGAUGAGUUCUCCCUGACUCCUUGAGAGUCCUGAAGGAACGUUGAAGACGACGACGUUGAUAGGCCGGGUGUGUAAGCGCAGCGAUGCGUUGAGCUAACCGGUACUAAUGAACCGUGAGGCUUAACCUUACAACGCCGAAGGUGUUU